rnacentral:lncRNA from 1 species
UGAGGGUUGAGGAAGGGGUGGAUCUCGGGUGGAAGAAAGAGAUGAAAAAGAAAAAAGGGGAAGGGGUAGGAAGAUAAGGCAACUGUGGGACCCGUGCACGGGGAGCGUGGGCGUCGGACAAAAAUCGACCUCUCGCAAAUGAGCUCACACAAAAAUGCGUCCCAUCCAUAGGAACGGAUCCAACGUGGGGCUGAAGCCCCUUACAGCUUGGCACCUCCAUUGGAGCGAGGGGUGAAAAAAG